rnacentral:rRNA from 1 species
GAGCGGGGGAUAACAUUUGGAAUCAGAUGCUAAUACCGCAUAACAACAAAAGCCACAUGGCUUUUGUUUGAAAGAUGGCUUUGGCUAUCACUCUGGGAUGGACCUGCGGUGCAUUAGCUAGUUGGUAAGGUAACGGCUUACCCAGGCGAUGAUGCAUAUCCGAGUUGAUAGACUGAUCGGCCACAAUGAAACUGAUACACGGUCCAUACUCCUACGGGAGGCAACAGUAGGGAAUCUUCCACAAUGGGCGCAAGCCUGAUGGACCAACACCGCGUGAGUGAAGAAGGGUUUCGGCUCGUAAAGCUCUGUUGUUGGAGAAGAACGUGCGUGAGAGUAACUGUUCACGCAGUGACGGUAUCCAACCAGAAAGUCACGGCUAACUACGUGCCAUCAGCCGCGGUAAUACGUAGGUGGCAAGCGUUAUCCGGAUUUAUUGGGCGUAAAGCGAGCGCAGGCGGUUGCUUAGGUCUGAUGUGAAAGCCUUCGGCUUAACCGAAGAAGUGCAUCGGAAACCGGGCGACUUGAGUGCAGAAGAGGACAGAGGAACUCCAUGUGUAGCGGUGGAAUGCGUAGAUAUAUGGAAGAACACCAGUGGCGAAGGCGGCUGUCUGGUCUGCAACUGACGCUGAGGCUCGAAAGCAUGGGUAGCGAACAGGAUUAGAUACCCUGGUAGUCCAUGCCGUAAACGAUGAGUGCUAGGUGUUGGAAGGGUUUCCCCCCUUCCAGUGCCCGAGCUAACCCAUUAACCACUCCCCCUGGGGAGUACGACCGCAAGGUUGAAACUCAAAAGGAAUUGACGGGGGCCCGCACAAGCGGUGGAGCAUGGUGGUUUAAUUCGAAGUUACGCGAAGAACCUUACCAGGUCUUGACAUCUUGCGCUAACCUUAGAGAUAAGGCGUUCCCUUCGGGGACGCAAUGACAGGUGGUGCAUGGUCGUCGUCAGCUCGUGUCGUGAGAUGUUGGG